UCUACGGGUGGCAGCAGUGGGGAAUAUUGCGCAAUGGGCGAAAGCCUGACGCAGCGACGCCGCGUGAGGGAUGAAGGUCUUCGGAUCGUAAACCUCUGUCAGCAGGGAAGAACGGUCACUGUGCUAAUCAGCAGUGAAUUGACGGUACCUGCAAAGGAAGCACCGGCUAACUCCGUGCCAGUAGCCGCAGUAAUACGGAGGGUGCGAGCGUUAAUCGGAAUUACUGGGCGUAAAGCGCUCGUAGGCGGUAUGUCAAGUCAAGGGUGAAAUCCCCGCGCUCAAGGUGGGAACUGCCUUUGAAACGGGCAAACGGGAGGGGGUGAGAGGAUAGGGGAAUUCCGGGUGUAGGAGGGAAAUCCGUAGAUAUCUGGAGGAACAUCAGGGGCGAAGGCGACUAUCGGGCACAUAACGGACGCUGAGGAGCGAAGCGUGGGUAGCAAACAGGAUUAGAUACCCUUGUAGUC
rnacentral:rRNA from 1 species